UUUACCAAACUCCGCGGUAAAAUUCACAACACUUGGGGGAGUAAUAUAUCAAUCAAAACGAGUCAUUCAAGUAUUCGGAUUUUUUCGAACUCCACGAAAAAUUUCUCACUUGGGGGGUAAUAAAAUAUAAAAAAAAAAUUUCACUCGUUUCAAACCUUGGUCAAAAAAAAAAAAUAAAUCAAUAAAUUUCACUCGUAGCACAAAUGUCGUGCGCAACUCAAUGGGUUGCGCCAGGCUGCGACGCGCAAUCAAAUUGGUUGCGCGCGGUAGGCACGCGACCACUUGAUGACGAACUACGAACCUGAAAUUUUUCGCUUGAAGAAAAUUAAUUAUGAUUUUCACGAGCGAUAAAAUAAAGAUGUAUUCAAUCUUACAUAUACUCAGAAAACAAAAAUUGAACUUUGAUUUGAUCUACUAAACAAAGUUUAAUCAAUUUUUCAUUUAAUUUCUACAAGUAGGAUUAAAGAAAAAAAAAACAAAAAAAAAAAAAAAACUUACUCAAGAACUACGCAAGACAUGAUUUCGUAAUAUGAAUAUGUAGGCAAUCUUUGAUCCGGUCAAAUAACAAUAAAAAAAAAAGAGCUCUUUAAUUUUAUUCAAAACAUAAAAUAGUUCAAAAGUACAUCUUAGAACUUAGAUAGUAAUAUAUACUACUACAAAACCAAUUGAAUUUCGACGCUAUGCCUUCGACACUGUCAAUAGAGUGUCAGUGGAAAAUUGGAUUCCCGUGUUUCUUCGACGCUUUUCAGCGUCCUCACUUAUUGCUGACCCAAAUAAGCGUCCUGAAUAUUAAUCACGUGAUAAGCACAUGCAGCUUGUGAACUUGAACAAAAUUGGGGGAAAAGCCGGAAAUCAUCAAAAUCGUUCCUUUUACUCUCCAAUAACUAAACCCUAGCCUUCACUAAAAUUCUCUCAUCAAUUCAUCGCUCUCCAAAAUUCCAAACCCAGCAACAAAUUAAACUGGAAGAAGCUCUUUGAUUUCAUCAUAUUUGAUCUACCACAAAUUAAGAAACAAAAUUGAUGAUUAUUUCAAUAAUCUAUCUUAAUUUUUUCGACAGCCUUAUUCAGGUAUGUUUUUCUCUCCCUUUAAAGUAUCGAUCUUAAGGGGCUUUUUUUUCCCCAUCUAUUACAUGUUUUAAUUGGUAAUUAAGUGUUUCUCUUUGUUUAAUUUCGUUUUCAAAUAUGUAUUUGCUGAUAUGUUUCAAAUUUAUAUUCAUUCUUUUCAAGAAUUUAGGGGAUUUCAUGACAAGGUAUGUACAUUCCUUUCUAGUUCAUACGUUAAUUGGUUUUCUGCAUAUUUUUUUUUUGAAAUAAAUGAAUAUACUAUGUAUUGGUUUUUCUUUUAAUAGGCUAUGAUUUUCGUUUAUAUGAGUUUGCACUACUUGAAAUUAAUGGAUCUUUGAACAAAUGAUAUUUCUUUUCAAAUUAUUUGUGGGAAUGUUUUUAAAUUUCAGGAUCAUACUUACGGUAGUAAGAUUUGCAUAGUAUCUCUUAGCUAAUUUAUCAUAAUUAUCAACCUUUAGAAUCUUAUAAUGAAAAGUCUAACCCAAAAAUUCCCCACUUAACAUGUAUCGUUGUAAAAGACUGAACCCACUCUGUAAAAUAUACUUUGGUUGUAACUGAACAUAUAUUUUUUAAUAGGUUUAGGAGGGCUAUGAAUGUAUUGAUGUUUGAAUUUUUUCUUGCAUUGUACGAUGCAAAAACUUUACACCCGUGUAAUUUGAUUAAUCAUUUGUACAAAGAAUGAUUUUAGGAUAAGAAAAUGAAUCAGGUUCUUUUAA